rnacentral:rRNA from 1 species
GGAUUAGAUACCCUGGUAGUCCACGCCGUAAACGAUGAGUGCUAGAUGUCAGGAGCUUUGACCCUCUUGGCGUCGCAGCUAACGCAAUAAGCACUCCGCCUGGGGAGUACGGCCGCAAGGCUAAAACUCAAAGGAAUUGCCGGGGGCCCGCACAAGCGGUGGAGCAUGUGGUUUAAUUCGACGCAACGCGCAGAACCUUACCUGGGCUAGAAAGCGUAAGAACCCUGGUGAAAACUGGGGGUGCCUUUCGGGGAACUUACGAUUAGGUGCUGCAUGGCUGUCGUCAGCUCGUGCCG